rnacentral:rRNA from 1 species
CCAGACUCCUACGGGAGGCAGCAGUGGGGAAUAUUGCACAAUGGGGGAAACCCUGAUGCAGCGACGCCGCGUGAGCGAUGAAGUAUUUCGGUAUGUAAAGCUCUAUCAGCAGGGAAGAAGAUGACGGUACCCGACUAAGAAGCCCCGGCUAACUACGUGCCAGCAGCCGCGGUAAUACGUAGGGGGCAAGCGUUAUCCGGAUUCACUGGGCGUAAAGGGAGCGCAGGCGGCAUGGCAAGUCUGAUGUGAAAACCCGGGGCCCAACCCCGGGAGUGCAUUUGAAACUGUCAGGCUGGAGUGCAGGAGAGGUAAGUGGAAUUCCUAGUGUAGCGGUGAAAUGCGUAGAUAUUAGGAGGAACACCAGUGGCGAAGGCGGCUUACUGGACUGUAACUGACGUUGAGGCUCGAAAGCGUGGGGAGCAAACAGGAUUAGAUACCCUAGUAG